GGCAGGGCCUCUUUCCGGCUACCGAGUAGCGGUUGUGUUGCUGAACCGAGGGCCAUGGCGUAAUGCAAUCACCGCUCAAUGGGACGACAUCGGAAUCCCACCAAACAGUAAUGUUCAAGCAAGAGAUGUUUGGGAGCAUACUACUUUGAAGACUAUUUUUGUUGCAAAUUUGACAGCUACCGUGGAUUCUCAUGCCUGCAAACUUUACAUUUUGAAGCCAAUUUCUUAAGGUUGUGAACAUUAGUUCCGCAUUUGGACAUGGUGU
rnacentral:misc_RNA from 1 species